rnacentral:rRNA from 1 species
UACGUAGGAGGCAAGCGUUGUCCGGAAUCACUGGGCGUAAAGCGCGUGUAGGCGGAUCGCUAAGUCUGUUGUGAAAGCGCCUGGCUUAACCGGGCGAGGUCGAUGGAAACUAGCGGUCUGGAGGCCGGUAGAGGGGGGUGGAAUUCCGGGUGUAGUGGUGAAAUGCGUAGAGAUCCGGAGGAACACCAGUGGCGAAGGCGGCCCCCUGGGCCGCGCCUGACGCUGAGACGCGAAAGCGAGGGGAGCGAACGGG